AGGAGUUUCUUGAUUCCCGCCUUCUGCUCGGUGGUCAACCUAGUAGGGAACCUGAUGUUGAAUUUGAUUCUCAAGUUGCCUCUCUUUGAUGGGUCUUUUUGAAGGGGCAUUCCUUCUCUUGGCACAAUUUCCUCGUAGGUGGGAUGAAUCACAUUGUUGAUUGGGAUGUUUAAACUUCUCCCAUCUCGGGCGGUGAGAUGAACUGUAUAACCUGUCAAUGCUUCUGCAAGAGAUAUCUUCUGUGUGACAAUCAAAUCAUUUCCAUCCCGAGUAAAUACACUGUGAGGCUUCUCGUCAAUAACGAAUACAAGAUCAGCAGGUCUAACAUUUGGCUGCUCAUUUCCUUUCUCAGGGAAGGUGAUCUUUGUACCCUUCUUCCAUCCGGGCUUCACAUCAAUAGUUAGAAUUUCCUCUACCUGCAUAGUCUUGCUGCACCCGACAAAAACAAGUUAAACCAAAAUUGGAAACGCUCAAGAACGUCAGAGAGAGUAUUCCUCCUCUCCAGAGAUUACUAUAAAACACGCCCACUAGUACAAUUCACAGUGAAAAUUUGUUUUUGGAAAGGAAAAACAGAAAGGGGCAAUGCAAUGAGAUUCUAAAAUUAUUAACUGAUAGCACCACAUCUAACACAUUCAUCAUGUCUGCAAGGUUAGGAACCCAAAGUAAAAAGCUCAAACAUAAAACCAGUAGAUCAGAACUCAUCAACUAUUCUAGAGGAAGGAUCUCUUGAUACCAUACAUCCAUACAAGUACAAAUUCUGACUGCAAAAUUAACUCACACCGAACAGCUGCUUUCGGACAGGAGCACAACAAAAGGAAGACCAUAAACGAAGAGAUGGUAUCUAAUAUUAAAUAGAGAGGAGACAGAAAAUCAUCUAAGCGCUUAUACUUCAUCUAGUUAAGUUACUGCCUGGCUGAGAACCGAAUCGCCGCACUGCUUGAUUCAAAAGGUUCUUACAAAUGCCUUUGGCGGUUCGUCACAGUUUAAUUACAAAAGAAGAACCCAAACAUGUAAGCAGAUAUGAUCACAAUUAAACAUUUGGCUUUUACACAAUCCAGCACUGAAAAAGUUCUGAUAAUUUCAACUUAGUUAGAUUAGGCAAAAGCCCCAUAUUUCCUUAUCCCAAGCCAAAAUAAUUAGUUCAGCUUGAACAAUCAUCAGAACUUAGAUUAAGCAACGGCCUCAGAUUUCCUUCUCAUAAACCAACACAUCCAGCAUUUAAUUAGUUCAGUUCGAAGAAUCAGCAAUCAAGACUGCAGUCAGGAUGUUAAUUCUGCAUUUUAACCAAUAAAAUAUUCCACUAUGUAAAAUCCAAUAAGCCUAGUAGAAGCAAUUAUGUUAAGAUGAAUCAAAAAGACAAGUAUACCUUUUAGCAAAGCAAACCCUUUUUUUUUUUUCCCCUUUUUUUCUGUUUUGGGGGAGCUUCUAGACACAAUAGCUUUUGUUCUUGAAAUUAAGCCAUCAAUAAACCAUACUUUGAUGAGCAGCAGAACGGCUAAAUAAAUGCUCAAUUUAAAUACCCAAAAAGUAAAAGUAACACAACCAUAGAAUAACUACUGAAAAUAAGGUAACACCACCAAUACAAAAACAGACCAACUAUUAAAGCAAUAACCACUUACCCACUUAUAUCAGCUAUCUCUCUAGAGAUCUUCAUCUUCUUAGUGGUCCCCUUAUAGAGAUCCUCAAGGCUACAAGGCAACUUAUUCUCAAUCGGAGGCGCUUUUCUUGCCCCACCACCACCCAUUGAUCCUCCGCCUCCUUCACCAAAUGGCCCAAACAUAUCAUCCCCAAAUAACCCACCUGGAAACCUUGAACCUCACAUCCCUCCACCGCCACCACCCAUGCCACCAAAUGGGUGUGAAAAACUGAAGAACUCAGCAAAAAUGUCAUCAGCAUUCCGGGGAUUGAACCGAAAUGUUGUAGGCCCUUCUCCAGUAGAGAAGAAGGACGCUCCACCUGGACCGGCAUCUGACCCUUUAAGCCCUCUUCUCCGUACUGAUCAUAUAUCGCUCUUUUCUGAGGAUCACUCAGCACCUACACAAACAAGGAGUUUAAAUCAAUGACCAAAACAAGUAUACAUCCAAGCCACGUUAAUCUACAACAAACAGAAUCUAUUCCACAACAAGCAAUGAAACAAUUAACCAAAAUCAAUGUAUAAUAGAAAAAUAAUGAAAAUAAUAACCUCUGUUUAAAACUUAUUGUGUACGUGCUGCCUAUAGGAAAGACCCGGGGGAUGCUGAUGCAAUUCUUUCUGCAGCCAAGGAGAGAAUCAGAGUAUUUAAAAGGGGAUUUGUAGAUGGAGAAGAGGCCGAUGAUGCUGAAAGAGAUGAAGAAAGGGAUGAAGAUUCAGAUAGUGAUGUACCAGAGGUUCCUGAUGUUUAUGACAUGGAUACUGACCUGAAUUCAAAGGAGGAGACUCAUGAAUCUCUGGAAGCAAACAGUUGUGGUGCAAAAACUCCCUUGGGCAACAGAGAAGCGAAUAUUAAAGGUAUAGAAAGCCCACAAGGUGACCUUGGCAAUUCUGGUAGGGGUUUGUCUUCUAAGAAUUCAGAAGACUUUGAUGAGAUAAAAGGAACUGGGGCUUUGACUGAUCACUGUGAAGGUGCUGCUGGAAUUAGCAAUGCUGCAACUCCUGAACAAACAGACACAGAUAUUAAAGAAAGCCAUCCUGGUGAACCAUGGGUUCGAGGACUAACGGAGGGAGAAUAUUCUGAUCUCAGUGUUGAUGCGCGGCUCAGUGCACUUGUUGCUUUAAUUGGUGUGGCAAUUGAAGGAAACUCUGCUGGCGUUUGUUUUUUUAAAAUAAAGUGACUUAAUUUAAUUAAUUAAGUUAAUUUAAGUUGUUUAUUUUUAUAAUUUAAUGAAAUUUUUUAGAUAAUUUUAAUUUAAUAAAAUAAGUUAAUUUUUUAAAUUUUUUAUUUAACGGAGUUAUUUGAAUUAAGUUAAUUACUUUUAAUAUAAAAAAUAUUUUUGUUAAAUAAUUUAUUUUUUUAUCUAUUUCAAAACUCAUCCAUAAAUAUUUAUCUCACAUAAUAAUCUCAUUAUUAUUUUUUUAGCGGACAAGGAAUCCCUCCUCACUUUGGUAUAAACUCUUCAAGUAUUAAAGAUCAAAAUUACAUGCGACAACUUCAAGAUAAAAUGACAAAUCAAUUAUUUCAAAUAACUUAUUAAUUUUUUUCUUAUAUUAUAUAUGAUAAAAUUUAAAAUUUAUGAUAUUUUCUGNNNNNNNNNNNNNNNNNNNNNNNNNNNNNNNNNNNNNNNNNNNNNNNNNNNNNNNNNNNNNNNNNNNNNNNNNNNNNNNNNNNNNNNNNNNNNNNNNNNNNNNNNNNNNNNNNNNNNNNNNNNNNNNNNNNNNNNNNNNNNNNNNNNNNNNNNNNNNNNNNNNNNNNNNNNNNNNNNNNNNNNNNNNNNNNNNNNNNNNNNNNNNNNNNNNNNNNNNNNNNNNNNNNNNNNNNNNNNNNNNNNNNNNNNNNNNNNNNNNNNNNNNNNNNNNNNNNNNNNNNNNNNNNNNNNNNNNNNNNNNNNNNNNNNNNNNNNNNNNNNNNNNNNNNNNNNNNNNNNNNNNNNNNNNNNNNNNNNNNNNNNNNNNNNNAAAAAAAAAAAAAAAAAGAAACAAACAAACGUUAGUUCGCAUUGCGCUUGAGGUAUCUUUUUUUUUUCUUUUUCUUUUUCUUUUUCCUUGAUGAGAGCUUGCGAAAAUUUUGCUUUGCAUUUUUUUCUUUUUCGUUAAUCUGAAAUAUGGGCAUUUCCAGGAACGCUCAGAAGCUGCAAAUGCUUUGAAGAAGCAAAUGUGGGCAGAGGCACAGCUUGAUAAACGACGAAUUAAAGGAGAUUAUAUGUUGAAAAUGCAAUAUCCAUCAUACAUGGGGAACAAGGCAGAACCUAGUCUUGCAAUUUCUUCUGCUGACGGUAGGCAAAGCCCUUUGGUUACUGUUGAUGACAAAAGUAAUGGGACGUUGGUGGACCUUAAUCUCCAACAAGGACAGUUUGGUGAACCUCAGAAGGACCAAAAUUGCAAUACUAGCAUGCCACCUGAAGGGAACCAAGAUUACCCUGUCGGUCCAGAUAAUCUUGUAAAUCAGCAAUCAGCUUAUGCUGCUGAGAAGUCACGCAUGCAGUUGAAAUCUUACAUUGGUCAGAAGGCAGAGGAAACGCAUGUGUAUAGAUCAUUGCCUCUUGGUCAGGAUCGUAGACGUAAUCGAUAUUGGCGUUUUAUCACAUCCAUGUCUGAAAAUGAUCCUGGAUGUGGCAGGAUCUUUGUUGAGUUAUGUGAUGGUCGUUGGAGACUCAUUGAUUCUGAAGAGGUAGCAUUUUCUCCUAUUGACUCUUAUUUGCUGGCUAUGUCAUAUCUGAAUGUAUAGUCUGUUUAAUUUGCGUAUACAAUCAAUAUGGAUAUCUUUUUUUUCUUUAUUUGGCAUGUAUAGCUGCUAUUCACUCUUUACCUUGCGUCUUCUUAUGAUAGCAAACCCAAGGAAAGAUUGCUGCAUGAAAUCUUUCUAUACCAAAACCAUGAUUUAACAGGCCGUCCAUACUUUCUCAUUCUGAAAUUGUGUUUACCAUAAAACAUUUCUCAAUUGACAUAUUUGAUAAAAUUUUCAUGUUUAUACUUUAUCAUCUGUUGUGUCCAUGUUUUCCUUAUUUUUUCAUACAAAUCUUUUGAUAUUCUUCAAGCAGAGUUUUGAUGCUCUUUUGGCAUCUUUGGAUGUCCGUGGGCUUAGAGAAUCCCAUUUGCAUUCGGUGUUGCAAAUGAUUGAGAUGUCCUUUAAGGAAACUGUGAGGAGAAACUUGCAGCAUGUUACCACAGAAGUGCAAAAUCAAGAGACUGUCAAAGCAGAAGUUAUUGAAAGGGCUUCUUGCCCUGAUUAUACUGGCACUGAUAACCCCAGCAGUAUUGUGUGUGAUUCUGAUUCUGAAAUAUCAGACACAUCAACAUCUUUCUCAAUUGAGCUUGGAAGAGAUGACAUUCUGAGAAAUGACGCCUUGAAGCGAUAUCAAGAUUACGAGAGGUGGAUGUGGAAGGAAUGUGUCAAUUCUUCAAUAUUAUGUGCCAUGGAGUAUGGGAAGAAAAGGUGCAAGCAAGUUCUGGGUGUAUGUGAUUACUGCCAUGAUUUAUAUUUUUUCGAAGACAGCCACUGCCCCUCUUGCCACAAGGCCUUUGAUGCUUCUAAGAGGUACUUAAAUUUUUCUGAGCAUGUUGCUCAAUGUCAAGGAAAGCCGAAGAUGAACCCUGCCUGGUCUUCGAGUACUUCAUUCUCUUCUCCUUUGAGAAUCAGAUUGCUCAAAGUGCUAUUAGCUUUGUUUGAGGUAUGUCUACUUUUUUGGUUGGAUUAUAUAAUUGAUAAUUUCUUAUGUCACUACUGUUUUACCUCCUAGUUUCUCUCUGAAGUACCCUUUUUUUAGAACUUUUGUCAUUGCCAUACAACUUAUGGUGUUUAUUUUUUGCGCCUGAAUUUCUGAAUGCCCGCCACCGACCCUCCUAGGUUUCUGUCCCAUCAGAAGCUCUUCAAUCUAUUUGGAAUGACAGCUAUAGAAACUCCUGGGGAAUGAAACUUAACUCCUCAUUAUCAGCUGAUAGCCUUGUUCAGGUAUAAGGUUUCACCUUUUUUCUUCUCAAUACUUGUAUCUGGUCAGAAUUUAUAACAUUUUCUUUUUCACUUUCUGCUUUAUAAAGUUUUGUCCAUUCUCCCAUUUAAUGCUUUAAUGUCCAACAUAGUGAGAAUAGUUCCAUUGCUUUACAUGUCAGAUGAAACUCAUUUCCUGUUGGUGCAUCAUGUUUUGAUUCUCCAGUAGUUGGAGGUCAGUGCGGCCAGAUUUCUCCUGUGGACUUGCUUCAUUUUGGGUGACUUCUUGAAAGAAGAGAAGUAACUAAAAGUUCAGCAAAACUGGAAGCACAAAUAAUUUAAAAAUGAUUUUGUGAACUGAAUCCAGAUAUGAUGUCUUAAUCUACUGUGUCCAAGUUUACCCCGUCUCUUUCAUUCCUUAUCUUGAUACUAUUGUUAGAUUUUUCUUCUGAACUUCUUUUAGAAUUUUGAUCUAAAACGUUUCUGGUGGUUAUAAUCGGUGUCACUUCGCAGUAAUCAAUUUAGCGUAAAGUUUGAGUCGCUUCCUAAAAGUAUAUCUGAAAAUUUUCAUUUUUAUACUUUAUCAUCUGUUGUGUCCAUGUUUUCCUUAUUUUUUCAUACAAAUCUUUUGAUAUUCUUCAAGCAGAGUUUUGAUGCUCUUUUGGCAUCUUUGGAUGUCCGUGGGCUUAGAGAAUCCCAUUUGCAUUCGGUGUUGCAAAUGAUUGAGAUGUCCUUUAAGGAAACUGUGAGGAGAAACUUGCAGCAUGUUACCACAGAAGUGCAAAAUCAAGAGACUGUCAAAGCAGAAGUUAUUGAAAGGGCUUCUUGCCCUGAUUAUACUGGCACUGAUAACCCCAGCAGUAUUGUGUGUGAUUCUGAUUCUGAAAUAUCAGACACAUCAACAUCUUUCUCAAUUGAGCUUGGAAGAGAUGACAUUCUGAGAAAUGACGCCUUGAAGCGAUAUCAAGAUUACGAGAGGUGGAUGUGGAAGGAAUGUGUCAAUUCUUCAAUAUUAUGUGCCAUGGAGUAUGGGAAGAAAAGGUGCAAGCAAGUUCUGGGUGUAUGUGAUUACUGCCAUGAUUUAUAUUUUUUCGAAGACAGCCACUGCCCCUCUUGCCACAAGGCCUUUGAUGCUUCUAAGAGGUACUUAAAUUUUUCUGAGCAUGUUGCUCAAUGUCAAGGAAAGCUGAAGAUGAACCCUGCCUGGUCUUCGUGUACUUCAUUCUCUUCUCCUUUGAGAAUCAGAUUGCUCAAAGUGCUAUUAGCUUUGUUUGAGGUAUGUCUCAGACUUUUUUGGUUGGAUUAUAUAAUUGAUAAUUUCUUAUGUCACUACUGUUUUACCUCCUAGUUUCUCUCUGAAGUACCCUUUUUUUAGAACUUUUGUCAUUGCCAUACAACUUAUGGUGUUUAUUUUUUGCGCCUGAAUUUCUGAAUGCCCGCCACCGACCCUCCUAGGUUUCUGUCCCAUCAGAAGCUCUUCAAUCUAUUUGGAAUGACAGCUAUAGAAACUCCUGGGGAAUGAAACUUAACUCCUCAUUAUCAGCUGAUAGCCUUGUUCAGGUAUAAGGUUUCACCUUUUUUCUUCUCAAUACUUGUAUCUGGUCAGAAUUUAUAACAUUUUCUUUUUCACUUUCUGCUUUAUAAAGUUUUGUCCAUUCUCCCAUUUAAUGCUUUAAUGUCCAACAUAGUGAGAAUAGUUCCAUUGCUUUACAUGUCAGAUGAAACUCAUUUCCUGUUGGUGCAUCAUGUUUUGAUUCUCCAGUAGUUGGAGGUCAGUGCGGCCAGAUUUCUCCUGUGGACUUGCUUCAUUUUGGGUGACUUCUUGAAAGAAGAGAAGUAACUAAAAGUUCAGCAAAACUUGAAGCACAAAUAAUUUAAAAAUGAUUUUGUGAACUGAAUCCAGAUAUGAUGUCUUAAUCUACUGUGUCCUAGUUUACCCCGUCUCUUUCAUUCCUUAUCUUGAUAUCUAUUGUUAGAUUUUUCUUCUGAACUUCUUUUAGAAUUUUGAUCUAAAUAGUUUCUGGUGGUUAUAAUCGGUGUCACUUCACAGUAAUCAAUUUAGCGUAAGUCACUUCCUAAAAGUAUAUCUGAAUUGGAUGAUCAAAUCUGGUAAAAUCAAAUGGGUUUGUUAGCUUUUUUCAUUUUCUCUUUACCUGUUCCUCUAAAUUUCUUUUUAUCUCUGUAGUUAAUAGAAUUGUGUGAAAACAUGUAACCCCCUGUUGAAGCUGGGAUAUUCUUUUAUUCGCUAUUGUUUGUCAUUUCUUUCUUUAAAUGUUUCUGGAUUUACAUUUACUUUUGAAGAACUCAGAAAGUUGGAAAAUGGGUUUAUUUUUCAGAUUCUUACACAGCUGGAGAAUGCCAUAAAGAGGGACUUUUUGUCCGCAAACUUUGAAACAACUAGUGAGUUCUUGGACUCAUCUAACUCAUCGGCAUGUACUUCUAACAGUUCUUGCAGUCCAGAAAUAGUUUCUGUACUACCAUGUGUACCAAAAACGACAGCUGCUGUAGGUUUAAGGCUCAUGGAGCAUGAUAGAUCCAUAGAUUAUUUGCCACAUCAGAGAGUGGAGUUUCAGAAGGAAAAAAGAGAAGGCAACUUAAUGGUGAGUAGCCUUUUCUGUUCUCAAAUGUGCAGCUUUAAUAUAAUUCUUUUAAAUACAAAGUAAUGUAAUUUUUUAUGCACUCUCAGAUGCUUAUAUCAAUAUUGUUUUAGUUAACACUAGUUAUCAGACUAGGAAGGCCUAAACUCUGAUUUUCUUUUAAUGAGAUAUGACAAGAAGGAAAGAGUUCAUGACUAAUGAUCUGGUUCAUUAGAAAAGAAAAUUGAGGAUCAGAAAUGUUGGUUAGCAAGGUCUAGAAAAUUAGUUCCUUUUCUUGAGAAUUGUCACAUAAAGUUUGAUUACUACUACUAGUAGUGAAGGCAAGUGCAGAAUCUUUGGUUGUUCUUGAAAACUGUGAGCAAACUUCAAAAUCACGCUUACAUCUUGGGUGGUAGAUUUUAUGCUUUAAGGCCUAAUGAAAGUUAUGUCUCUAUUUAGGGUAAGGCAAAGCUGUAUGCGAAACCUAUUUAGGGUAGCUACCACAGCACAGCUGCCCCAAAUGGACCCUUAGAGAAUUGGGGUAACAUUUAUGGGUAUCAUUGUCCUGCUCUUCCUGGAUUCAUAUACUGCAGCAGUAAUUAUCUGACUUUAGUUUGAGAUUUACUACUCCAGCAAAUUGUUUUCUUGACCGUUUUCUCUCCUUUAAAUUCCUUAGAAGCUUCCAUCAAAAUAUGCUGCUGCGAAAAACACCAGAGAUGGUGAAGACCAAGUAAAAUAUCUUCAAGUUGAAGAAGCUAACAGGGUUGAUGUGGGGAUUGGAUUUGCUGCCCCUAGUCAUGGACGAGGGAUCCGUGGAAGGGCCCGUGGAUGCCCGAAUACUGGAAGAUCUCAGAAAAGAGUAGCUGGUUCCAGAAGGGAUUCUGGUAAAAGAAGCACAAACACCAAGAGUGGGAGACUAGUACUGGUAUUGAAAGGUCAAUCUCAUGGGCAAGGAAGUCGUAAGCGUGGUCGUCGCAGUGCUAGAAGUAGGCGGAAAUCAACAAAGAGGGUGGUUGUGGAGAAAGAUGCUCCAAAGCAAAGCAUCUUUGAUAAACCAAGAGACUUAGCGGGGGAUGUGUGGAAUAGAGAUGAAAUUCCUAAAUUGCAAGUAGACGAUGCUGAAAAUGCUAGCUUCUAAGGAAGAUCAGGGUAUGGUGAAGAAAAUGGUCAAGCAACAGGAGAUGAAUACAAUAAUAUGAUAGAUGAAUAUGCAGGUGGUUUUAAUAGUAGGUCAAAUGACUUGCAGGAGGGAAGUGAUGAUAUUGUAGACGGUGAUGAAGAAGAUGAUGAGGAUGAAAUGGGAGACGGCGGUGCAGAAGAUGAACAAGGUUAUUUGGACGUUGAAGAGUAUGUAAAUGAGGAGUCCGAUGGAGAGGGAAUCAUGGAUGGAGAUGGAGGCCAGAUUGGAGACCCUGACGAAGGUACAGGGGGAUCAUCUUCAGAUCUCAGUGACUAACAAAAGCAACUUAAACUUAACUAGGGGUGGGCAUAUUUUAACCGAACGAUCCAAACCGACCAUUUGGAUCGGUUUGGAUCGGUUUCAUUAGUAAAAAUACUAAUUUCGGUUUAUUGGAUUUUAAACCGACAUCACUCGGUUUGGAAGGAUUUCAAAUGGAUUCAAACCGAUCCAAUUCAAAAUUUAAAAAGCUUUAAGAUACAUGAUGUGUCAAUUUCGUAUUGGAUUAUUAACAAAGGAAAUGUACACUUUCAUACACAAUAGCAUAUCUCUUACUAUAAAAACAAAAACACAAACCUAAUUUUCCAACACUCACGACUGCCUCCACCUCCACCUCCAGUGCUUCCUAAUUCCUAUCAUUCUCAACUCUCUCAAUCUCAAUCUCUCAUUCUCAAGUCUCCUGAGGUAUGUUUUGAUUUUAUUUUUCUCUUAUUUUUAUGAUCUGAUGCUGUCAUUUCAGAACCAUCAAACGUCCUCUAGUAUGGUCAGAAAAUAUUUUUCAUUGAACUUUAAUGAUUCUCUUGCUUUGUUUGCAUGCGUGUGAAUGAGAGAAGGAGAAAAGGAGGGGGUGGGCUGCAUCAUCGCAUUAUUAAAACUGCAUCCUUUCAUCCUUUUGAGUUGUUUGCAGUCUCAUGUGAAUUAUCUUGUUCUUCUCUUCAUCAAAUCAGUGAUCAUUGAUGAGGAAGAAGCCUUUUGGAUCUUUCAGUUCUUGCGUUAGAAGCGGUAUUUCUGUGUGAACUGUUUCGUUGGAUUUUCUUUAUCUAGGGAAAGAAUUUGGCGAGGAGAGCAUAAUUACUUCAAAGAAUCAUUCUGAUCAUCAUGGGGAAAAAAUCACAGAGAAUUUCUUUAUUAUAAUGUAUUAUGUUGUGAACAAAUUUUGUGAGUUCGUUUUGAUUGAACAUGGGGAGAAUUUCUUUAUUAGAAUGUAUUAUGUUGUGAACAAAUAUAAAAGUAGUAUGUAUUCUGUUAUUAGAACUCAAACCAAAGAUUAUGUCUAUAUCGGUUUGAAUCGGUUCGGUUUAUAAAAAAAUUAUGUCUAUAUCGGUUUGGGAAUAUUUCAAACUGAUAAGUUUGGAUCGGUUUGAUAAUAUGUCUCAAACCGAUCCAAACCGAAUUUGCCCACCCCUAAACUUAACUGUGAAGAGUUACUGACUUGGUAGAAGUGUCUUCAUGACGAGUUGGAUUCUGCAGCGUUCUCUCUGUAGCUAAAAAGACAAAAGAAAAAAAUCUUUUUAACAGUUGGCGUUUUAUUGCCGUGUUCGCUGUAUUAAAAUUAUAUUGAUGGAUCAUAGACGGUCCUUAAUUAACUAAAGCAAUGCACGAAAAUAUAUCAUUGAAUAUAUUGCUUUAGUCAGUAGAUUAAGCCCCCCUGAGCUAUUUAAUUGUCACAUGUCAACCCAAUCGUCUUUGCACGCAUGGGAGCGGAUUUUAUUGGCAGUGCUUGAUUCCAAUUAAUUAGGUGUAGAUAAUAAUCCCCGUAUAUAGAGACUUGUGGACAGCGUGUCAGUCCGAUUUAAAACCAGCCAAAGUUGGCAGAAUCACACUUAGCAAAGAAUGAAAUUAGAUUUACUGAACUUUUCAUUUCAUGCCCGGAGAAAAUCAAUCAGAAGUUAUCUUCUGCAAAUAGCACUACAGUUACGCAUCGAAAUAUAGAACCAUAAUAGAACACCUCUUGUAGGGAACAACGACAAAAUCAAAAUCUUUAUUUAUAUACAAGCAAAUAAAGAAAAGAAAACAGCACGCGAUUUUGGGGAGAGAAAAAAAAAAAAAAAGGAAAGAAAAGAAAAGAUGACGACAUUAAUUAGGACCCCAACUCCGCAACAACCCAAAACAAGGUAAGCAUCGAUUUAAAAGCUGUAAAAACUUGAUCCCGACCUUCUGCUCUGCAGUCAAACUUGGUGGGAACUUGAUGUUGAACUUGAUUUUCAAGUUGCCUCUCUUUGAUGGCUCGUUCUGAAUUGGCAUCCCCUCUCCCGGGACAGUCUCCUCAUAGGUGGGAUGAAUCACAUUGUCGAUUGGGAUGUUCAAACUCCUUCCAUCCAGGGUAGUGAGACGAACCGGAUAACCUUUCAAGGCCUCACCGAGAGUUAUCGUCUGUGUGACGAUCAAAUCAUUCCCAUCUCGAGUAAACACACUGUGAGGCUUCUCGUCCACGAUGAAGACGACGUCUGCAGGCUUAACAUUUUGCUGCACAUUUCCCUUCUCUUCGAAGGUGAUCCUUGUACCCUUCUUCCAUCCAGGCUUCACAUUAAUAGUUAGAAUUUCUUCCACCUUGAUUGUAUUACUGCAUAACCAAAAAACACACAUACAGUGGGAAAUCUUGCCAAUGUCGAAGAAAUUAUGCCUCUUGUCACAACUAUAUAACAAGCCAAUAAAAUCACGACAUGUAUGCAAAAACUGGUUCAGUUAGUCAGCUAUAUUAAAAAUAACAACCACUUACCCAUUGAUGUCAACAAUUUCCCUAGAGAUCUUUAUCUUCUUAGUAGUCCCCUUGUAGAGUUCCUCAAGGGUACAAGGCAGCCUAUUCUCAAUCGGAGGUGCUUUCUUAGGUCCACCCAUUACAAAUACUCUAUUAAAGGAAUGAAAAACAUCAUCAUCACCAAAUGUCUCAUUUGAGGAACUGGAACUUGACCCUCUCCUCCCCCCACCUCCAUGGGGGAUUGUGAAAUCAAAAUAUUCCGAAAAAAUGUCAUCAGCACUUCGGGGACUGCCUUGUGACAUACCCUUCAAGCCUUCUUCACCGUAACUAUCAAACAUUGCUCUUUUUUGAGGAUCACUUAGAACCUACUCAAACGAUGUGUUUCCCAUCAAUAACCAAGAUAAGCAACACAGCAUUUGGAAUCAGUGACAUUAACCAACUGUAAAACUAUUAAAGACAAGUGGGAAUUUUUUUUUCCUUUUAUGGGUAAAUUGAAAUUCUGCGGGAAUUGCUUUACAGGAAUAUAACAAAAAUUAUAAAAAUGAAAAAUAUCACUCUUGUGAGAAGUGAAGAAUUUUAUUCUAAAAAAUAGAACUUUGUCAGCAGCUUUUGACACUUGAGCAAUACUUAUUCAAGAAUAAAAUUGGUUAGCAAUCUUCAAGUACCUUAGUUAAAUUGGGCAUUCAACUUUGAAUUUUGGGGAAGACAGUCAGUAGGUUUACGGUUUUGCAAAUUGAGAUCCUCUUUUAAUUAUUUUCUCUCACUUCUCCUAGUUUAUAAAAUUUAGUGAAAAAAAUAGAUUUAAUUAUAAAAAAUAAAAAAAAAUUAGCUUGAUUGUCAAUAUUAAUUUUCAAAACUCAAUCUUAACUACUUAUUAAACUAAAAGAGAUUAAGGGGAAAAAAAUUAAGAAAAGAUCAUUGUCCGAACUUUGUGGCCAUUACUUUUUUUUUUUAAAUUAUAAAUUAAAAAAAAAGUUAAAUGGUUAGAAAAUAGGAUGUUAAUCAAAAGUAAAAUAUUCAAGAAAAUGAAUUUUAUCACAUAAAUACCUUCUAGUUUUUUCCCCCUAUCAUUGCUCUAGCCAAAAUCCCAUUAAGUCCUUAGAUGGGUUUAGCCGAGGACCUUUUUGCAAUUUACAUCUUACUUGAUCAGACACAAGCACGAGUGUGUAUGUGAAAUUUACAGACAACCUAGUGAAGAUUUUUAAAUUUUAAGCGUAAUCAAUUAGAGAGAGUAAAUGGUAGUGAAAGAGUUUUUCCCCCUAGUGAUAAAUUAAUGGUCUCAAAUUAGAGAAUAACAAUUUCAAGAAAAUUUAAAAAAAAAAAAUUCCCACAAAAGUAAUACCAUUAGAGAAUAACAAUUUCAAGAAAAUUUCCUAGUGAUAAAUUAAUGGUCUCAAAUUAGAGAAUAACAAUUUCAAGAAAAUUUAAAAAAAAAAAAUUCCCACAAAAGUAAUACCAUUUUGUAACCAUCAUCACAUAACAACAUACUGUGAUUAAAAAAUAGUGUUUUGGAAAAUAAAGUUUGAUAGUAGAAAGCAGAAAGUAAAAAGAUAUUAGACCUCAUAAGCUUCACAAACUCGGUUCAACUUAGCUUCAGCUUCUUUCCUGUUAUUAGGAUAUUUAUCAGGAUUCCACUCCGCGGCCAUUUUUUCGUAAGCCUUCUUCAGGUCAUCGCUACUUGCAUUCCUAUCAACUCCCAGUAUCUUGUAAUAAUCAGCUCCCAUCUUCUCUUCUUCACUUUCACUAACUGCUGCUUCUGCUUCUCACCACAAGCUUGGAUGGCUUUUUAUAAGCCUUUUGCUUUCGGAGCAAAGCAAAAGCAAUCAAAUAAUUUCUCCUUUUGCUUCUACUUCUCGCGGAAGCUGAUGGAGUUACUUCUCGCGGAAGCUGAUGGAGUGGUGGCCAUGGGGCAUGUGCUUGGAAACUAUCAAAGUGGACGUUCUCUUCAGGAUUCUAAUAUUCCGUUGACGAAGAAGUAAACGGGCAGUUUUGGAAUUUCGGUAAGCUCCGAAUCUUUUUCCUCGUUUCUUUAUUUUUCUACUUUUGAGGUACAAUGUGAACGCGUCUCUUUUUCCAUUCCUCUUACUUUGUGCUUGACUGAUAUUGAGCUAUUAUAUAAAAUAAAUUUAAUAGGAUGUAAUAAAUAUAAUUUUUAAAUAAUAAUUUUGAAAAGUUAAUAAAAAUAUAAUUAUUUUUUCAUCGCACAAGUGUAAAAUCAAAUUAAUUUAACUUCUGAGUUACAAUAAUUAGUGUUUAAUAGUUAUAUCUUAAGCUCCGAAUCUUUUUCCUCGUUUCUUUAUUUUUCUACUUUUGAGGUACAAUGUGAACGCGUCUCUUUUUCCAUUCCUCUUACUUUGUGCUUGACUGAUAUUGAGCUAUUAUAUAAAAUAAAUUUAAUAGGAUGUAAUAAAUAUAAUUUUUAAAUAAUAAAUUUAAAAAAUUUAAUAAAAAUAUAAUAAUUUUUUCAUCACACGAGUGUAAAAUCAAAUCAAUUUAUCUUUCAAAUUACAGCAAUUAGUGUAGUUAAACAUUUUUCUAUAAUUAUCACAUCAUCCACAUAAGAGUAAAUAAGAGUUUAGAUAUUUUAAUUAAUACUCUUUAAUAUUAAAAUAAUAAUUAAAUUAUUAUAAAAAUUAUCCUUGUGGAGUUAAACAUUUUUCUAUAAUUACCGAUAUAAAAAGCCCAUGAUGUAUGUUGAAAAAAUAAUAAUUCACACAAAACAGACACAAGGUCGAACCUUUGAAAAUAAAGUGAUGAGCUUGCAAAAUAUAGUGAGACUUGUUUUGUCCAAUUGCACAAACUCAGCUGUCUCUCACGUAAUUAAUCAACUCUUAUUAAUAAUAUUGAUAUAUGUUUUGACGAUGACAUAAAAUUUAAUGAAAUAAUGUAAAAAAUAUUAUGCUAUUUUUAUAUUAUUUUUUAUGCACAUUUCAUUAUUACAAUAUAUAUAUAUAUAUAUAUAUAGUUGGGACUACAAGAAGUGAUGUGGCAUCAUUAUUUCUCAUCUUUGUAUAUUUUCUAUUAUCUAAUAAAUAGAGAAAUUUUCUUUUAGAUUUGGUUUUUCAUCUUCCCAUAAUUAAUUUGAUUGUUAUUACACAAUAACAAUUAUGUAAAGGUUUUAAUGACGCAUAUUCUUUGUAAUAAACAUCCAAGGGGGAGUGUUAUAAAUUUAUUAAAAUAAAUGUGGAUGUUCAUAACAUAUAUCUCUUAAUCUCCCCACUAUCUCCCAUUAGCAACCUUUAGCUUCUCUAUAACUCUCACUAUCUCACAAGGAAUUAUGAUCCAUAAUUUUUCAUUAAUUUCAUGGAGUGAUUAUGUAACUAUAAAAUGAGAGCUCAUCUUUUUGUUUUGUACACACAUAAUUGGAAUGAAUAAAAUCACUCUAUAUAAUAUUCUCUCAUUUUAUUCUUUAUUUUGCGUUGCUUCUUUAUUUGUGUUGAUGCUAAUAGCUUUUUUUUUUUUUUGGUUUAAACCACCCAGUUUUCGACGACUGCAUUGGAUACUUCUACUGCAUUCAACAUUUCUAACUUUUAUUGGUUAAUAUACGUGUGAAUGAUAACACAAUCCUCUGAGAUAUUUUUUUAAUUAUUAAUGUUUGUUAAUCUUUAAGUGUAUAUUAGAAAUUAUUGAUCCUUAUGUUUUAGCAUGUUUAUGUUAUUUUUCCAUAAUAUUACAGAUGUUGUCGGAAUUUUAUGUGGUGUGGGUGAUAUUGAGAUUGUUGGAGCUAAUUCAUAUUUUUUAUCAGUUUUAUCAAGUGUAAAGUAAGAAAUAACAUGAAAACGGCGAUCCGACAUAUUGAUAACGGCUCACCGACAUCUAACAGAAUUGAAGAUUAGCCUCUGCCUAAACGGCGAUAUGACAAUUUUGAUUAACGGCUCGCCGAUAUCGAACAGAACUGAAGGUUAACCUCUGGACCUAAACCGCGAUCCGACAUCUAAAUAACAGCGAUCUAACAAUUUGAAAAUUCAGCCCAACGGUCAUAUUGACCAGUCAAACGGCGAUCCGACAGUGAGCAGAUAGUCAAUAACGGCUAGUUUUUAGCUCCAACUAUAAAUAAGCUCAUUCAAAUCCAAACAUGCAGAAUUCUAACGAUCGUCAUUGAGCAAAAUAUUGAGAAUACAACUUUCAUUGAGCUUUAAAUCCUUGUAUUCAUCUCAUUCAUUCACACAUUGAGCUUUCAUUUGUGAUCAAACACAUUGUGUGAGAGAAAUUCAUUUGUAAUCCUUUUUGUAAAAUCAAGUUAAAAGAUUGUAAGUGUUGCGAUACACUUGGGUUAAGAGAUUAGGGAUAAUCUCUUGUUGUGAAGGUCCAUUGACACCUUGGAAAUCAAUUAUAAGCAUUUGAAGCCUUGGAGGCUUGUUUAGUGAAAUUUUCAAGCCCGGUGAGCUUGGAGGCGUGGACAUAGGCGGGGAUUACCGAACCACGUAAAAAUUAUUGUGUUUGCUCUCUCUUCCCUCACUCCUUUAUUAUUGUGCUUUAUUGAAUUUAUUAUUUUUGAUUUCAUUAAGGCAUUAGAUUAAAUUGUUGUGUGAUUUGCUUAGUUUAAUUUUUAAAAUCCCAAUUCACCCCUCCUCUUGGGUUGCAUAACUAGAAUUUCAUUUAGUAUCAGAGCAAGGUGCUCUUGUGUAAACUUAACCGUCUAGAGUUAAAGAUCCAUGACAACCUAUAAUGACUCAGCCUUUAGGGAAAGACAAUCCACAAUUAGACCACAGUUCUUUGAUGGUAAUGACUACCCAUAUUGAAAAACUAGGAUGAGGAUUUAUUUACAAGCUUUAGAUUAUGAAAUUUGGGAAAUUAUUUGUGAUGGUCCAUUUAUGCCUUUGACUAAAAAUGAAGUCGGGGAAGAUAUUCCAAAACUUUCACGGGAAUGGAAUGAAUUGGAAAAGAGAAAAGCUUCUCUAAAUUCUAAAGUUAUAAAUGUCUUGUUUUGUGCACUAGAUAAGAAAUAGUUUCAUAGAGUUUCUAGUUGUGAAAUUGCUAAUAAAAUUUAGCACAAACUUGAAGUUGUUUAUGAAGGCACGAAUCAAGUGAAAGAGUCUAAAAUUAGUAGGUACACUCGACAAUAUGAAUUGUUCCAAAUGGAACAAAAUGAGAGUAUGUAUUCUAUGUAUACUAGAUUGAUGGACAUAGUGAACACUCUAGGAGCCCUAGGAAAGACAUUUUCAAAUAGCGAGAAAGUUAAGAAAAUCAUUAGGUCACUACCUAAGAAAUGGACACCAAAAAGGACUGACAUUGAGGACGCCAAAGAUUUAAAUAUCUUACCUAUUUAUGAUUUAAUUGGUUCUCUUAUUUCUUAUGAGGAAGACUUGGCAGCCGAAAAAGGCAAUGAAGAGAAGAAGAAAAGCAUUGCUCUCAAAGCCUCGAAACAUGAGAGUGAUGAGAAAAGCGAGCUGGAUGAGGAGGAGAUGGAUAUGUUGGCUAGGAGGUUUAGAAAAGUUUUUAAGAAAUUCAGUGAGUGAAGAAAAUUUAGAGACCUCAAGAGCCGAAAGGAGAAGAAGGAAGUAAUCAAAUGUUAUGAGUGCAAGAAGCUUGGCCAUAUAAGAACGGAAUGUCCUCUUUUCAAUAAGCUCAAGAAGAAAACAAUGGUAGCCACAUGAGAUGAUAGCGAUGAGGAAACAAGUGAUGAUGAAGAGCAUAAAAAAAAAAUGACAAAUCUAGCUCUCAUGGCAAUUGGAGAUGAAUCGGAUGAUGAACUUGAUGAGGUAAAUGAUCUUCCUACUUAUGAUGAAUUACAUGAUGCAUUUAAAUAAUUGUAUGAUGAGUGGAUGAAAAUUGGUAAAAAGAAUGCAUGUCUUAAAAAGAAAAUGGUAUAGCUCACAAAUGAAAAUGAAUCUCUAAGUGCAAAGAUUAUAUGCCUAGAAUUAAAGAAUAAAACAUUGCAUGAUAGAGUUGCAUUAUCAAAUGAGAAACCUAGCACUUCACAUGAGCAUCUAGAAUCAUAUGUAGAUGACUUGAAAAAUGAAAAGGAUACUUUACAAAAAUGCAAUGAUUCAUUAAAUGAAAAGAUUAAAGGACUAGAGUUAGAUAAUAAAAUGUUGCAUGAUAGAAUUGCAUCAUUUAAAUGCAAACAAAGUACUUCAUAUGAGCAUGAGAAAUCACAUGUUGAUGAAUUAAAGAAAGAAAAUGAAGUGCUUAAGAAGAAGAGCAAUAAGCUAAAUCAAAUUAAGCUAAAUAAAAUUGUGUUAAAAUUCACAAAUGGGCAAAAGAUGUUGGAUAACUUGCUUAAUUCACAAAAAUGUGUGUUUGAUAAAUGAGGUAUCGGUUAUAAGCCAAAUUUGAAACAAAAAUAUUAUAAGAGUUAUUUUGUUAAAACUACCUCCAUUAAUGAUCAAAUUGUAUGUCAUUAUUGCAAUCAAAAUGGUCACAUGAAGCUUAGAUGUCCGGUUAAAAGAAAUGCAUAUUAUGGAGUAACAUGUAUUUGGGUUCCAAAAGGAACCAUUGUUAAUACUUAAGGACCCAAGAAUAUUUGGGUACCAAAGCACACAACUUGAAUAUUUUUUUGUAGGCACUACAUCAAGGAAUGGCGGAGAGUUCCUUGAUAAAAGCUUAUGAGAAUAAUCAUUUGAUCAUGGUGUAAGCAAAAAUAAUGAGGCAAGAUGAUUUAAUUGUUUUGGUAACAAUUAUUGCCUUAUUGAUUAUAAGUAACGGUCUUUUAAUCUUAGUAAGUAUUUCAUAUUUCAUCAUAACAUUAAGUGCAUUAGCAUGAUAUGGAUAAAAUUAUCUUGCCUAUUUUUUUUAAUGGAUUAUGAUAAAUGGAUAGUAGCUUGAAUUUGUGAAAGUAUGAUAAUAUGUUUACAUAAUUGAAUUAUCAUUGUGUAUAACAUUGAGUGAUUUAUCAUGAUGCAUUUGUUUGAUUUUGAUGAUUGUAUGGUCUUUGAUUUCAUCUUCUUAAUUGUCUAUCAUCAUUGUCUAUCUCUUAUGUAUGUGUGAAUUCAUAUGCCAUUAAUUGUGUUAUAUUAUUUAUAAAAUUCGCACUAAUGACUUAUUGUGCUUAUGAAUUUGAUCACUUGUUCUUUACUCAUAAUGAUGGCUUAUCUUAAUAGCUAUAUUGAUUUUGAUGAUCUUAUAUUACAAUUAUACACUUAUGUUUUGCUUAAGAUUUGAGAUAAAGAAUAUGCUUUGAUGAUUACAUGCAUUUGAGGAAGUUUGAUUUUAUGGGAUCUAUGAUUGGAGAAUGGAUGCAUUUUGUUUUUUACUUUAUUGAUGUAUUGUCGAAUAUGCAUUACUUGCUUUAAAUAAUAUCGAAAAGGGGAGAAAUACAUAUACUUUGAGAAUUUUAAGCAUAUGAGAUUUUUUAAGUUAUAUUAAAAUGUCACAUUAGAUCUUUGAUGAGUUUAAUUGUCUUGAUUUUUAAAAUGUGUUUACUUAUUAUGGAGUUUGGAUAGUUGAUAAUAUGUUCUUAUAACUUUUGCAUGCCAAUUUGGUAAACAAAUCAAAACCUUUUUGUGAAGAACAAUUUUCAAAAAUUCGGCAUGAACUUAGGAUGAUGACAUUUAUCAAUAUCUCUAAUGAUGUUAUUAAUACUAUCAAAAUUGAUUUCUUGAUGAUUUUGAUGAUUGAUGAUUAUAUGUGUGUUGCUUGAUGAAUUAAUGGAGUUGUUGGUUUGUUAUAAUUGUUUCAGCUUAUAUGGAAGCAUUUUUAACCAUGUUGUGUAUUUGGGGAUUUGUUCAUUUUUAAGGGGAGACUUUGCCGAAAUUUUUGCUCGCACAAAAUGGGUAAUAUCUUCAUCGAAUUAUUUUUUAUGAUCUUGUUUCGAUUGCAUCUAUCUAUCUUUUCUUUUUUAUGAUGAAGGGGGAGAUAAAUAUGAUAUGUUUUUUGAUAAAAUCAUUUUAGUUAAAAUUUUUAAUUGGCCAUAUAUUUAGGGGGAGCAUAUAAUAUGAUUUUGGAUAAUAUGCAUUUUUAACUUUUUUGUUGUCCAAAGGGGGAGACAAAAUAAUAUAUCAUUUUGAUGUUAUAAAAAAGAGGAGAAUAUUAUGGACUUUUGAAUAUUAUUUUGAUGAUUAAUAUGUGAUUAUGGUGAUGAUUUUGAAAUAUGAUGAUGAUUUGAUUACAUGAUGUGUAUCAUGAUUUAUAAUAAUUUCGGAGUAAUAUUACUAAAUUUGUAUUUGAGGUGAUGCUUAUUGUUAGGGAGAGUAUCUAUCCCAAUUUUUACGCGGACAACAUGGGUAACAAAUUUACUACUUUUUUUUCUUUUCCACUAAGUUUUAUUUUUGAUGAUGAGGGGGAGAAGAAUACAUGUAUUUAAAUUUGUUAAUUUACCUAAAUUGUAAGAGAAGCUUACAUUUAAGGGGAGCAAUUUGUGGAAUCAUUCUUUAAAUACAUGAAAAGUUUGUCAUCAUAAAAAAUGGGGAGAUUGUUAACAUUUAUGUAUUCAUAAUGUUGAUUUUGAUGAUAACAAACAAAAUUAAGAUUGAUUCAGUUUUUAAAAGCUCAAAUUAUUUUUAUACAUUUUAAAUAAAUCAUUAUUUUCACAUUUUAAAGGUUUUAUAUUUAAUAGAAAAAAUGAUUUUAUGAAAUUAUUUUUUUUUCAAGUUUAUGGUUUAAUUGAAAGAGUUUUGAAAACUUUAAAAUCAACAAGUAUUGCUUGAAAUUUUGGAGAAGGAUUUAUUUGAAAAGUAUUCAUAGCAUUUUGGGCUAUAUCAUAAUUUCAAAAAAAUUUGGGAAUAGAAAGUAUUAUUUAAAAAUUCUGAAAUUGGACUUAUUUGCUAAACGUAUAAUGUUUUGGUCCAUAAUACAGUUAUAUAAAAUUUUGAUAAACGGCUCGCCAAUAUCGAACAGAACUGAAGAUUAACCUCUGGACCUAAACCGCGAUCCGACAAUUUAAAAAUUCAGCCCAACGGUCAUAUUGACCAGUCAAACGGCGAUCUGACAUCUAGUUAACGGCAAUCCGACAGUGAGCAGAUAGUCAAUAACGGCUAGUUUUUAGUUCCAACUAUAAAUAAGCUCAUUCAAAUCCAAACAUGCAGAAUUCUAAUGAUCGUGAUUGAGCAAAAUAUUGAGAAUACAACUUUCAUUGAGCUUUAAAUCCUUGUAUUCAUCUCAUUCAUUCACACAUUGAGCUUUCAUUUGUGAUCAAACACAUUGUGUGAGAGAAAUUCAUUUGUAAUCCUUUUUGUAAAAUCAAGUUAAAAGAUUGUAAGUGUUGCGAUACACUUGGGUUAAGAGAUUGAGGAUAAUCUCUUGUUGUGAAGGUCCAUUGACACCUUGGAAGUCAAUUGUAAGCAUUUGAAGCCUUGGAGGCUUGCUGAGUGAAAUCCUCAAGCCCUGUGAGCUUGGAGGCGUGGACGUAGGUGGGGAUUGCCGAACCACGUAAAAAUCAUUGUGUUUACUCUCUCUUCCCUUACUCCUUUAUUAUUGUGCUUUAUUGAAUUUAUUGUUUUUGAUUUCAUUAAGGCAUUAGAUUAAAUUGUUGUGUGAUUUACUUAGUUUAAUUUUUAAAAUCUCAAUUCACCCCCCCUUUUAGGUUGCAUAACUAGACUUUCAAUCUCUCCUAAAGCCAAGAAACACCCAUAGUCGGCGGCAACUUUAACCCUCGUCGGCGGCUGCUCCACCCAUCAUCGGCAUCCAAUCUACCUUCUACGACCUUCAACAAAACCUAGGUUAGCCAUUUUAUUUAUAUUUCAUUAAUUUAAAAUGAAAUUUUAGAAUAAUAAUGGUUGUAGUUUCAAAAUAAUAGUGGUGGUGGUAGUGGUGCUUGUAAUUGUGGUUGUUGUUGUUUUGGGGAGAACGGUGCCUGCCCAGCGAGGGAAUUGCUUGCUAGCGCCUGGCGCUGGGUAGCAGCGCGGGCGCCUAUCGCACCAAAUUACAGUUUUAAAUUUUUUUUUUUACCAAAAGUUAAUUUCCCUAUUAUUGUAUUAUAAAUACAAUCCAAUAAUGUUAAAAAUAUUAUAGAUACAUAGCGAAAUCAGAAGUGUCAAGAAACGAAUUAUGCAGGAUGAUAUUAGCUUAUGCUGAUCACUUCCCGGGGUGAAUUUCAAGUAUGUGUAACUUAUCUACGGUUGUAAAAGCCAUCGAGUGAAAAUUAACAAAACGGCAGCUGCAUCUGUUCAAGAAAGACAUAUUUGGGUAUUUUUUGGAGUGCAAAAGCUUUUCGUUUAGUGAUGUAAUUUUGCACAAUAUUUUGCUUAGGCAAGUGGCUCAUGGAGAAUACAGAGAGGAGGAUAAGUUAUCGUUUCAAAUUGGUGAGCAUUUGAUACGCUUGUCAAUUGGAGAAUGAUAUCUGGUUACUGGACUUCCUAUGGCGUAGAUACCGCACUAACAAAUAACAAAUCAGGUCACAGGCUACUGAAAACGUAUUUUGGUGGUGAUUUGUUUCGCAACAUUAAUCUUAAGCAAUUCGAUGCAUUAUUUGAGAAGUUGAAUUUCAAGGCUAUGGACGACAUUGACGCACUAAAGAUCGCGCUCUUUUAUUUUGCGGACAGAGUUCUAAAUGGAAGAAAGGGCCACUGUCAAAUCAAUUUCGAUUGGCUGAACGAAGUAGAUGAUAUAAAUUACUUUCGAAAUUGUCCAUGAGAUAGUCUUGACAAUGCACUGUACGAGAAAGAUAAGAAAUUUAAGACGAUUUGGUUGGAAAAUCCAAAUCAUAAAAUAGAAAAAUACAAUAUUUACGGUUUUACGUUCGGGGUUCGGGUGCAUUGUUUUUUUAGUAAUAAGUUCUGUAACAUUAAAUAUUUAGUGGUAGUUUUAAUUGCUUUCUCACUUUUGUUGUUGCAGGCUUGGAUUUACGAAACAAUCGGAGGUCUGCCUCUAGCUUAGGUCGUGAAAACGAAGAAGAAAAUUCCCCGCAUCGUGCAAUGGAAGCCCAUGGCUUCUUCUAAAAUAAACUUUGCUGAGGUUUAUUCGUUUUUCAAUGACGAAUCUCGUCUUGUAAGUAAUAUGUAUUGGUAGACAUAUAGUACUAUAUUCGACAUUACUAAAUUUGAGUUCUAUACACUUACUUAAAAUUUUGGACUGAAUUCAUGGCAGGGGAACGUUUUGCAAACCCUUGAGCCGGAUGCAAAGGAGAGUCACAAAAAAUAUUGGCUCACUGUGAAAGAUUAUAUGUCACGUAUUUCAGGUUGGGUUUAUAAGGUCGGUAUCUUAUAAGUAAUAUUAUUUAUUUAAUUAAAAUUUUUGACUUUUCAUUUACUUAUUUUAAAUGUUAUUUUCUACAGCACCAACCUUCAAUCAACGCGCCGCUGGCCGUUACAAGGUAAUCAGACGAGUAUGACGACAUACCGAGCCCAACACCAGAGCAUUGCCACGACACAUCUGAGGAUGAGGUGCCUGUGGAUGACCAUCAGGAGAAGACAAACAAGUCUGAUGACGCACAUGAUUAUGAGAUUAUAAAUAAUUUCUUUUACUGAUAUAUAAAUCAGACGAGUAUGACGACAUACCGAGCCCAACACCAGAGCAUUGCCACGACACAUCUGAGGAUGAGGUGCCUGUGGAUGACCAUCAGGAGAAGACAAACAAGUCUGAUGACGCACAUGAUUAUGAGAUUAUAAAUAAUUUCUUUUACUGAUAUAUAAAUCAGACGAGUAUGACGACAUACCGAGCCCAACACCAGAGCAUUGCCACGACACAUCUGAGGAUGAGGUGCCUGUGGAUGACCAUCAGGAGAAGACAAACAAGUCUGAUGACGCACAUGAUUAUGAGAUUAUAAAUAAUUUCUUUUACUGAUAUAUAAAUCAGACGAGUAUGACGACAUACCGAGCCCAACACCAGAGCAUUGCCACGACACAUCUGAGGAUGAGGUGCCUGUGGAUGACCAUCAGGAGAAGACAUACAAGUCUGAUGACGCACAUGAUUAUGAGAUUAUACAUAAUUUCUUUUCCUGAUAUAUAAAUCAUUAUAACAAUAUGUUAUUAUAAAGAAUUUUUUUUAAUAGAUAAGGACAAAGUAGUUCAAUGAUUAUAUGAGACGACGGAUAGACAAGAUUGAUCGUAACAUUUAUGAACUUAAGUUGGAAUUUAAAGAUUUUAAAGAAAUUGUGGUGGGAUUUAUCGAUUCACUGUCUAAGCUUCCAAACAAGGAUUCUCCGAUUGGACACUCGUAUGCGGUGAGCAAAUAUAAAUUUGACAAUUAUGUUCGUUUAACUUUUAAUUUGAUAGUUGUUUAAUAUGUUCAUCUUGCCGAAUUGACAUGCCCUGGAUGACUAUGGAGUGUAUACUGAUGUGGGCAAUCAAAAUUUUUCUACUCCCACAUCAUUGUAUAGCUUCUACGGGGAUGUUAGUAGGAAGAGUGUGCAGGUCUUCGCUGAGGUGCCUCCGGGCAUUAGCAAGUUCGGCCGAGCGUACAGACCGUCGUAUAUUUUUAACAGUCCCUAUAUGAUUCCUCUAUUCGGGCGAGGAAAGAACGUCUAGCCUUUACUUCCACUCUAAAUCAUGGUCCAUGCGAUUGACAUGAGUACGAGUGUGGAUAUUAAAUCUACUUAGAGGAUUGGAGGAUCCAAGUCUGUAUGAUGAGUUUGACCGAUGGUUCACUGGCGAUAUGACAGUGGAUCGGAGAGUCCAAUACUCGCAGUCGUUCUUUCAAGUGAUUUUCGGCCAUGUUUCAAUGGGAUGACUUGGGGACGAGGUAAUUAUUUUCCUAAUUUCUUUCCGUGUUGUGGAUUUGUGUAUAUAUAUAUUUUUAAAUCGACAUGUUUCUGUUCCUCUGCAGCACAUUCACGAGUAUUUUCUUUUGAUUAGCGAAAAACAACGGCAGUAUACGAAUUCCUUAGUUCAACGUAUCACAUAUACUAAUACAUUUUUUUGGGUAACGUACCGAGAUAACUUAUAAUUACCCUUUCUAUUUGUUUAUUAUCACCUUGAAGUUUUGUUAAUCUAUGCAUUUCUUAGUUAUCUAUGUAAUAGGUAUUCUUGAAUCAGUUAUGGAACGGGUAUUGUGUGGUCGAUUCAUUAGUAUAUAGCUACAACUUGAAUAACUAUAUUGGUGGGUGAUAGCACAUCAUGUCCAAACCAAUGACGGAUGUCGAUAUGGUAUGUAUUUUAUUGCAUUUCACGGCCAUAAUCAAAUGUGGAUGUGGCUUUUUGUUGUUUGUUUUUCAAUUUCAUAUAUAACAAACAUUAUUAAUUAACGAUAAUUUUUUAUAUACAGUUACUCAUCCCUGUUAACCUGGAUUGCGAGCAUUGGGUACUAUCUUGAGUAGACUUUUAUAAUAACAAAGUUUAGAUUUAUGACUUAUUACUGACAUUUCGAGACAACAAAAAGUACAAGUUGAAAUUCAAGCCGCUUGAAGUUAUCUUCCCUCGAUGGUUGGAAUAUAUUGGUUUUUACAACAUCCGACCUAAGUUGCGGAGUACUAACCCCUGGAAAGUUGUCACAAUUAAGAGUGUGCCACAACAAGAGCCCAGAACUAGCGAUUGCGGUGUUUUUUUAUUAAUGUUUACGAUAUAUUUAAUGUUCGGGCUUAAAUUUGAGUUUAACAGUAGUCGUGGGGAAUACUUUAGAAAGAAUAUUGUAGUUGACAUAUUUAAUGAUGAUAUUGUAUUGUAAGCCGUUAUAGUAAUUUGAAUGUUGAAAUAUUGAAUUUUAUUCUAAUUUGCGCACUUAAGUUUAUAUAAUUUUAAUGCUCACAUUUUAAUAUAAAAAAAUAAAAUAAAAUUUCAUGACAUAUAAGUGUACAAUACACAAAAAACAACAAAUGUUUUAACUAAAGAAUCAUUGAAACAAUACAACUAAUUUCGACUCGACGCAAUGGGAUUCUUACAUCGCUUAUUAUUAUGUCCCAGCUCAUUACUCUGCUCGCAUCUAACUCCGCCGGUUAACGUCCUCGCCAGCCGAGGGUAUUCUGAGCUCUUUACGACGACCAGGUGGUGUUUCCUCAACUAGUGGAUAUACGUGCAUCUCUUAAAUUUCAUCUGAAACUUCCCAAUCAGCCACGUCGCCAACCGGCUCCACUGGUUAUGCAUAAGUCAUCGCCAACGAUUUUGUGGUGUAAAAGUCCGAAUAAAGGUUAAUGAAAUCCACUCGAACAAUUAGACACGCCGCAAUUGCAUAAGCACAUACAAGAUGAUCAAGCUAAAAUACUCUGAAGGAGUAAGUUUUCUUUUAUAGGUCAACUAAACCUUCCUUAAUCCCACCACCUACAACUUGAAAUUGAUACGGAGACACCGGUCGAACGAUCAUUCUUUCAGCUAUAGUUUUCCUCCCAGUGACUAUUUCAACUGUCCAUGUUGUUAACCGAGUACUCAUUGAUUCAGCCACAAUUUUUCUAUCAUAAAACCAUUGCUGCAAUGUUUUCCUAAAGUAAUCAACAAGAUGAGUAACAAGAAAUUUUCGCGGUUCCCUCAUGAAAGAAUUAACACUCUCUGCGAUGUUGGUGCUAAGUAUGUUGUACAUCCUACCUUCAAACUGAGGCCAUGUCCAAUUACACGUAUCCACAUUAUUUUCUAAGUAAUCAGCCGCACCCGAGUAGAUCAUUCACAACCCUUCAAGUUGUUUUUUAAAUUUCUCGUAUCCAUAUGAUUUUGCUGCAUUAAUAAAGGCAAGCUCAAAUUUAUCCCAAAGAGCUUUGGACAUCUUAAACUUUGACUUAAUGUUACCUUUCACAUGGUAAAAACAAACGCCAUGUAUUGUAAAAUACUUUCAGAACGGCUCUCUUUAUGGCAGUGCAUCGAUCAAAGAUAAUUACUAACUCCAGCCUAUCACCAAUAACUCUGUGUAACUUUAUCACAAAUCAUUCUCAAACAUCAUUAUUUUCUGAAUCUAUGACCCCAAUGGCUAACGGAUACAAUUGAUUGUUACCAUCUAGACAUGUUGCUACGAACAUGCUUCCACGAUAUAGCCCCUUUAGAUGAGUACCAUAUACAACAAUGACAUGCCGAAUACACUGCAUAAAUCCCUUGAUGGAAGAUCCAAGUGCUGCAAAGUAGUACAAGAAAUUACCAUCUCCAUCCCACUCGAGGUGAGUGACUGUACCUUCUUUCGCUUUAGUCAGUACGCGAGAGUAUUUAGGGAGCAAGUUGUUUUACUCUACAGGGUUGCCUCGAACUAUUUCAAGACCAACUUCUUUGGCCCGAUAUGUCUGUAGGUAUGUUAACUGAACACCGUAUUUUUGUUGCAUAUCUGCUCUGAUGUCAUUCGAAGUAUAAAUCCUCUUUUCUUAAAUAUAUUUAUCUGUGAUAAUAUGACCGAUAACUCGACUCCUUACUUGAUAACGAUCAUUAACCAAUACAUUAUUAUGACAAGUGUGUACAUGGUCAAUUCUUCUCACCACCCAAAGAACAUUAUGCUCGUUCGAACUUCUAAUUGCGCGAAUACGCCAUUUACAUGAUUCCGAACAACAAUGAGCUUCGAAACGUAUCGUUGUAGACCGUGCAAUCUUGAAAUCAAACUUAUUCCUAAAGGCAACCUUGCGCAGAUGUAAUAUUAACUCAUUCUUCUCAGCAAAUAGCUUACCCACACUAAUAUCAUCUAAGUUACUACUGCUAAAAGAGCUUGGAGCAACCAUGUUUGAAGACAAAAUUGGAGCAAGACUUGUGAGGGUGUCAAUCCUCAUUCUCGAUCGAACCAUUGAAGGAAUAGAUUCAUUGUCUCUGUUAUUCACAUGAAUAUCGUUUUCACACUCAUGCUCAUGCUAAAACGACAGAAUAUUGGAAGGACCGGCUCCUCCAUCAUCACCUGCAUUAUUGAAAUGAGUGUCCAUCAUACUAUUAGAAGAUUCUGCACAAAUAUUAUCCCCCUAUGUCUCAUAAUGAAGAUCAUCAUUGUCCUGGAAACCAUUGGUGUGAUACGGAGAAUAUCGUUGCUCCAACAACGUCGUUAGUAGUAACACAUCUUCUCCAACAUCAUCUAACGUAAUACCGUUAUCAUCAAUGUUGUCAUAAUUAUCGUGGAUUGGAGAGUAAUAUUGUUGCAGCGACAUUGUCCUUGGCAACACCUCUUCUUCAUUAUCGGAGCCAAACAUAUUUGCUCUAAAGGAAGUUUCUGUUUCGACAUGUGGCUCAACAUCUUCGCUCAGAACUCGAGGUGAUGUGGUAACGAAUAUAGGAAUGCAUCCAUAGUUGGCCACAUUGGAUGCCAUAUGCAACACAACCCUCACCAUUUCAUCAUCAAAUAUAUCCAUGUGCAGUGCACAUAUAUGAUAUAAUGUGUUACUAGACCCCAAAAUUGUCUUCAUUGUGAUACUAUGUUCAUUAGGAUUUAUUUGUAACACCUCGUAUACUCUUGUCAAAAACUGAUCAAACAUACAAUUUUUCUCAAUAAAAAAACUCUAUUUUUACCAUUUACAUACUCCAUACGGCCAUCCUCUAACGUCUCCCACCAACCAUCAUAAUACAAUUCAAGCACAACUGAAUCUAUUAAGCCUGAAAUUAUAAAAAAAUAAUAAUAAUAAUUGUGCACUAUCAAAUUAAUAAAUAGUCAUUUGCAAUGAAUUUGCCUCUUGGUGCAACAGACUGCCCGUCGCUCUAAAAAGCAGAGUCGGUAAAUCUACCUAUUGGUGUGACAGGAUGCCUGUCGCACCAAAAGGCAGAUUGUCCUACGAAAAUUUUGUGCGACAAGCUGCCUGUCGCACGAAAUUUGUGCAACAUGUGCAUAUUACACCAAGCGAUCGCACUGAAACUUUCGCAAGUUCAGAAAAUAAUUCAUACCAUUCAAUAAUGCGGAUUGGUGUUGGAUCCAAAUGGAUUAUGAUCGAAUUUUACUUUUACUGUUCGCCGUCGCCGUUUGCUGUUGCCUUAUGCCGCCAUCAGUAAUGAUUCAAGAGUGCAAAGCUGUGUUUGGUUUGAUAAAAAAAAAUAUUACUUUUGAUCUGUAAACAAGGAUAAUUUAGAAAAAAAAAAUUUAUGCUUGGUUAAUGUUAAUUAAAAAAAAAUUAAAGAAUUAAUUAUGAAAAUAAUAAAAAUUUUAUGAUUAUUUUUGUAAAUUUCCCAAAUUCUCUUAACAAACAUAGCUUAUUCGAAUUAUUCUUUUCAACUUAGCACACCGACAACCGUGAUUAUGAAAUAUAUUAUAAAAAUAUUUAAAACAAUCCAUUGAGUAAAAUGCAAGUUGACUAAAAAAUUUAUAGCUUCCUCCAACAGUUUUACUUAAUUGACUAAAUUCCGCUUUUAAGAGAAAUAAAAGCCACAGAAAACUAUUUUGAACUUUACCCAACUGGAUUUGUAGAACUCCCCGUUACAUUCCCCAUUCAUCCCAAUGCAAGAAACUCGAAUCAAAGCAAAUCUAGUAAAUCAAAGACAAAUUUUACCACCACAUAUCAACCCAAAGAACAUAAACAGUAGAUGCGACACCAUCCAAAAGGAAAUUUUUAGCCACCUAAAAACACCCCUAUAUCAGAUUCCUAAUAUCAUCAGAAACCAACACAAGCAAUGAUGCAGAAAUCAAUCAUAUUUUUAUUAUGAAAGCAGAUGUUGGUUUACAGUUGAUAACCCCUGAAUGUUAAAUAAGAUGACGACGCAACUCUCCCAUGCAUUAAGCAGCAAUUCUCAAACAAGCCUAAGAAAGUAACUAUCAAUUUAAGCUAGUAGAAUUGUAAUCACAAUGUAACCAAAGAACCAACCAGGACAGCCGGCCAUGUUUCAUAAUAUACUCGAUGAUCUGACGCACGGAUAUUCACAACAAAAAGCUCUGUUUCUGAAAAAUAUCAUUUGCCGGUGUAUCUAUUUCAGGGACCAAGGAGUUUCUUGAUUCCCGCCUUCUGCUCGGCGGUCAACCUAGUAGGGAACCUGAUGUUGAAUUUGAUUCUCAAGUUGCCUCUCUUUGAUGGGUCUUUUUGAAGGGGCAUUCCUUCUCUUGGGACAAUUUCCUCGUAGGUGGGAUGAAUCACAUUGUUGAUUGGGAUGUUUAAACUUCUCCCAUCUAGGGUGGUGAGAUGAACUGUAUGACCUGUCAAUGCUUCUGCAAGAGAUAUCUUCUGUGUGACAAUCAAAUCAUUUCCAUCCCGAGUAAAUACACUGUGAGGCUUC
rnacentral:lncRNA from 1 species